AUUGAACGCUGGCGGCAUGCCUUACACAUGCAAGUCGAACGGUAACGGGCCUUCGGGUGCCGACGAGUGGCGAACGGGUGAGUAAUACAUCGGAACGUGCCCGAUCGUGGGGGAUAACGAGGCGAAAGCUUUGCUAAGACCGCAUACGAUCUACGUAUGAAAGCAGGGGACCGCAAGGCCUUGCUGCGACGGAGCGGCCACUGGCUGGUUAGGUGGUGGGUGGGAUAGAAGGUUACCAAGCCGACGAUCUGUACCGGGUCUGAGAGGAUGACCGGCCACACUGGGACUGAGACACGGCCCAGACUCCUACGGGAGGCAGCAGUGGGGAAUUUUGGACAAUGGGCGCAAGCCUGAUCCAGCCAUGCCGCGUGCAGGAUGAAGGCCUUCGGGUUGUAAACUGCUUUUGUACGGAACGAAAAGCCUUCUUUUAAUACAGGAGGGUCAUGACGGUACCGUAAGAAUAAGCACCGGCUAACUACGUG
rnacentral:rRNA from 1 species